AUAAAGGUUUUCUUCACAAAAAACCACCCACAUUCUGCUAUAAUAGUUGU
rfam:Listeria aquatica FSL S10-1188 c16, whole genome shotgun sequence.